UUGUGAGACCAGACCAGUGUGGACUUCAGACAGCCAAGUAUCCAAGAAUGCAUUUCGCGACAACCAGCCGUAAACAAGGCAGAGGAAACAUUCAGCGAUAAAGCCUGCUGAACAUGAAGCUCCGACGGUACCGGACAUGUGAGCGUCCCGGUCUGACAGCUGUGACGGCGCUCAGAGCUCACAGCAGCCGCCGAGAGCCGCCUGAUGUCGGCCAGACUUUGUGAAGCCUGCCGCUGGCUCUGACGGCUCCGUAGCGGUUAAACAGGGAUAUACGCAGUUCAGCGUCACACGUUGUCCUCACAGUGGAGUUUGUUUAUUGCUCACAGUGGAUUUAAAACAAGCUAAAGUUGGAGCUUUAUAUUUUUAUUUAGUCUUGUACUGAUCGCUGCCUCAGUGCGUCUGAAUGAUUCUCCUGCUUCCAUCAGCUGUAGUUCAGCCUGGUUCUGUUCCUAUGACUGUGGCUGUGCAUUAACAUGUGAGCAGUGUUUUAGUGGAGGGCAGCUGGAUGAACGUCCUCCUGACUGCUGGGAGACUCCCCAGAACAUGAGCAGCUCCAUCCUGGACCUUCUGACGGAGCAUCUCCAGCAGCAUCAGGCUGUUUCCAGCUCCACUGAAGAACAUCAGGAGGAGCAGAGGAACAACGUUCUUCAUCUGUGGCGUGUUUUGUCCUGUUACAAAAUGAAAUCUUAUGAAAAAUGACCCUGUUUAUGUAAUUGUUCUAUUUAUUGUAGAUAGUUCUUGUCUAUUUAAGUAUUUUGAAUCGUUUAAGAAUGAAUGGUCUGAUAUGAAGCGCUGAAGCCACAAUAACAUUUUCCUCCAACAUCUGACUGUUGAUCAGACGCUGCUGUCAACUAAUUAACGGCUUCAAUAGAGUUUGUAAGACGACCUUAGAAACCUCAACAUGUGUUCAUCUUUAUAGUUUUUAUAUUAAAGAGGCAGAGCUGUG